UAUGAUCCCUGUUGGAGAUCUGCGUCUUUACCAGUGGAUUCAUAGAACGCUACUCUUUGAAGGAAUGGCAUGGAGUCCCUCUUUUACAUUAGAGCGAAUGUUGUGAAGGGGAGCUGACACCUCUCAGUGGGAUUUGCAGGCGAGAGAAGAUGUACCUCGGUGAUUUUCACUUAAAAGUUGUCCAUUUUCAUCUUCACCCCGUCGAAGAUCCAAGCCCGAACUCGCAGUGACAAGCAAAGCAGCACAGGGACUCCUAGAGGCUCGGGGAUAUUAUAUUCUAAACAGCACGCACGGAUUGAUUGGAGUCAAGUCAUGUCACACAAGCAGACGAGACGAUAGACUCUGGAUAUUAACACGUAAGGAGGAAGGAACACCGUGACUUCAAUGGCUUUCCCACCUCUCGGUGACGGGUCGUAGAAGUAGAAGCCGUUCCACAGCUUCGUAGCGUGUCAAACAGCGGCUGGUUUCCCCCAUCCAAAGUCCAGACUAUACAUUGUAAAUCUUGGAGAGCUGCCAGAGAUUGGUAAACACAACAUUGGAGUUAUUUUGUUGUUCUUGAGUGUGCUUUGCAAAAGUCUAGUAUUUUCCUUUCAGAUCAUUACAUAGUUGUGAAAUUUAUAUAUAUCCCAACUGUAGUCUGCAUUUCUAUUCUGCAUAAACUUCUAUACAAACUCAAUUAAUAUA